GGGGGUUCCAGACCAUCUACUCUGGCUCCCUUGGAAGGCAUCCUUCCUGGAUCAUGGAUAGAUGAGGAAGCCCUCCAGGACUGGCCAAAGCAAUAUCCAGGGGCAGGAAGAGGGAGUAUCAUGGGAGUCAGUACACUUGAGAAUCAACCCUUUCAGAAUGGUGUGGUGAAGCUUGGGAUGAAGUAAGGCCAGUGCUGUAGGAGGAAAAGGUGGGGGCAGCUGCUGCAACAGAAGGGGUCCCAGCACAGGGAGGCCUGGGUUCAGUGUUAGAGGAUGAGUAAGAGUCAGCCACCUGGACUCUGGUUUGAGGUUCUACUCUCCUGAAGGCCUAGGGCUUCUUCCCCAGGGGCCCCACCUCCAGGAUGCCCACCUUGAUGAUGUCUUCAUUGUCAGACUCGCAUUCCACUAGGGCGGAGAUGUCCAGGACGAGGCCAUUCACCUCGAUGGCAAUGACCUUGACAGGGAUGGCCACUGUCCGGCCAGUCAGAAUGGCCGUGUUGAUGAUCUCUGUGUCCUGCAGGGAGGAGAAGGGGGGGGCUCUACUUGUGGUCCCCUUCUGUCCUGGGACACACUAGCCAAGGCCCCAGCUCCUGGACGCUCCCCCCCCACUCCUCAGAUGCACAUCCUUCCAGUGGGGACACUUGCACCCGUGUGCAGGGAUAGGCAACCACCCCUCCUGGCACUCCUUGACAGAUGGUCUGCUCACUCGGGCUUUUGCAGGAACCUCAGGGUCCACCUCACUGUGCUGCCGGGAAACAACCCUUCCCCAGGCCCCUGCCAUCUCCUCUUAAACAGCUUCCAGGCUCCUCAGGACUCACACAGUAACAUCCAACACAUGCCUGGCUAUUCAAGCUGCCCUGGGCUGGCCCCAGACAAUCAUUCCAGCCCUACCACUCCAUGACACUCUUUCUAAAUCUAUAGUUCUUUUGAACAAACUACUCAUAUUCUCACUACUGUACCUUUGCCCAAGUAAUGCCCUGCCUGGGACACACCCUGCAUCUCUGGGAGGCUCCCUCCCAGGUGACCUCCAAGACUCAACUGCAUUGCUACCUCCUUCUGCAAACUUCCCAUCAGUGGUCCCUCCAUGGUGACAUCUCCCACCUCUGCCCCCCUGAGCAUCUGCUGUCCUCAUGGCCCGACAAAUAUAAAACACAUGCAUGCACCUUCUCACACAGGCAUACCUGGGCAUGGCAGGAAGUCUCACAUAUACACACAUGUCAAUUUGUACAUAUACUCAGUGGUUCACAUUCUUGUCACACAAAUGUGC
rnacentral:lncRNA from 1 species